AUUUUACUCCCUCUGUUCGAAAAAGCUUGUCCCUAAAUGGAUGUAUCUAGCAUCAAGUUAGUGCUAGAUACAUCCAUUUGAGGGACAAGCUUUUUCAGACGAAGGGAGUAAUAG
rnacentral:pre_miRNA from 1 species